rnacentral:rRNA from 1 species
GAUGAACGCUAGCGGCAGGCCUAACACAUGCAAGUCGAGGGGUAGAAGGAGCUUGCUCCUUUGAGACCGGCGCACGGGUGCGUAACGCGUAUGCAAUCUACCUUGUACAGGGGAAUAGCCCAGAGAAAUUUGGAUUAAUGCCCCAUAGUAUAUAACCUUCGCAUGUUGGUUAUAUUAAAGUUCCAACGGUACAAGAUGAGCAUGCGUCCCAUUAGUUAGUUGGUAAGGUAACGGCUUACCAAGACGAUGAUGGGUAGGGGUCCUGAGAGGUAGAUCCCCCACACUGGUACUGAGACACGGACCAGACUCCUACGGGAGGCAGCAGUGAGGAAGAUUGGUCAAUGGUCGCAAGACUGAACCAGCCAUGCCGCGUGCAGGAAGACGGUCCUAUGGAUUGUAAACUGCUUUUAUACAGGAAGAAACCCUCCCACGUGUGGGAGCUUGACGGUACUGUAGGAAUAAGGAUCGGCUAACUCCGUG